GAUCGCGUGGUCUAAUGGAUAAGGCACUCGCCUCUGGAGCGGUAGAUUGUGUGUUCGAGUUCCAUCGUGAUCG
rfam:Picea glauca, whole genome shotgun sequence.